CAGAAGGUAAUUUAAUUAAAAUGCUGGUUUUGGGGAUCAGUUUUGGGUUUUACCCUCUUUUGA
rnacentral:tRNA from 1 species